rnacentral:rRNA from 1 species
AGCUCCAACAGCGUAUAUUAAAGUUGCUGCAGUUAAAACGCUCGUAGUUGUUGUCCAACUGUACGUCGAACUUCGUCAGAAGUGAGUCUUCACAGUUUAGCGGGAUUUUACAUUCUGCCAAAACCUUGAGGAAAGAUUAGUGUUCCAAGCAGUCCCACUUUGUCCUCCCCAGCAUGGUAUUUAACCUAUUCGAAGGAGAUCAUUGCCAAAUCUUCAUCAUACAAAAUAGAAAUUCAAGGGGGUAUACGUAUUUUAAUGUCAGAGGUGAAAUUCCUGGAUUAUUAAAAGACGAACAAUUGCGAAAGCAUUCGCCAAGCGACUUUUCU